rnacentral:lncRNA from 1 species
AAUUUGAGGUCUGAUUUCAAAACAAACCAUAUAUUUGAAUUUGUGGGGGAAUGGAUAAUCGGGUUUUGGUCCGAACCUCGGGUUUCGACCACGUGGGCCCGGGGUGAUUUUUGACUUUUGGGUAAAACUUUGAAAAACUCAUUUUCAUGCAUUGGGGUUGAUUCAUUUAGCAUUUAUUAAUGUGAUUAAGUAACUUAUGACUAGAUUCGAGCGGAUUGGUGGUGGAAUCAAGAGGUAAAGCUAUAAUUGAGACUUGAGUGGUGUUCAAGGCAUCGAGGUAAGUGUUUGGUUUAACCAUAGCUUGAGGGAUUAAGAGUUGAGUCAUAUUUGCUACUUGCUUCUUGUUGAGUACGACGUAUAGGCAUGGUGACGAG